AAAACGACUCUCGGCAACGGAUAUCUCGGCUCUCGCAUCGAUGAAGAACGUAGCGAAAUGCGAUACUUGGUGUGAAUUGCAAAAUCCCGUGAACCAUCGAGUUUUUGAACGCAAGUUGCGCCCAAAGCCAUUAGGCUAAGGGCACGUCUGCCUGGGCGUCACGC
rnacentral:rRNA from 1 species